AACGAACGCUGGCGGCAUGCCUAACACAUGCAGGUCGAACGAGACCUUCGGGUCUAGUGGCGCACGGGUGCGUAACGCGUGGGAACCUGCCCUUAGGCUCGGAAUAACUCCCCGAAAGGGGUGCUAAUACCGGAUAACGUCUUCGGACCAAAGAUUUAUCGCCUUUGGAUGGGCCCGCGUUGGAUUAGCUAGUGGGUAGGGUAAAAGCCUACCAAGGCGACGAUCCAUAGCUGGUCUGAGAGGAUGAUCAGCCACACUGGGACUGAGACACGGCCCAGACUCCUGCGGGAGGCAGCAGUGGGGAAUAUUGGACAAUGGGCUAAAGCCUGAUCCAGCAAUGCCGCGUGAGUGAUGAAGGCCUUAGGGUUGUAAAGCUCUUUUACCCGGGAUGAUAAUGACAGUACCGGGAGAAUAAGCACCGGCUAACUCCGUG
rnacentral:rRNA from 1 species